CAGUCUGUCUCCAUUCUGUCCGAAGUCUGUCCCCAGUCUGUCCCCAGUCUGUCUCCAUUCUGUCCCCAGUCUGUCUCCAUUCUGUCCGAAGUCUGUCCAAAUCUGUCCCCAGUCUGUCUCCAUUCUGUCCGAAGUCUGUCCCCAGUCUGUCUCCAUUCUGUCCAAAGUCUGUCUCCAUUCUGUCCCCAGUCUGUCUCCAUUCUGUCCCCAGUCUGUCUUCAUUCUGUCCGAAGUCUGUCCCCAUCUGUCCCCAGUCUGUCUCCAUUCUGUCCAAAGUCUGUCUCCAUUCUGUCCCCAGUCUGUCUCCAUUCUGUCCCCAGUCUGUCUUCAUUCUGUCCGAAGUCUGUCCCCAGUCUGUCUCCAUUCUG